AUGGGAGUUGGUUUUACCCGAAGGCGCUGUGCUAACCGCAAGGAGGCAGGCGACCACGGUAGGGUCAGCGACUGGGGUGAAGUCGUAACAAGGUAGCCGUAGGGGAACCUGCGGCUGGAUCACCUCCUUUCUAAGG
rnacentral:rRNA from 1 species